rnacentral:lncRNA from 1 species
ACAGUUGACUGGUUUCUCCUUUCACUCUGCUGACAGGCUGACUCAGUCCCAGGCUUUCAGCUCUACUUGUUCUUACAACUGGCAUAUUUCUGCUAUCUGGUUCAUUUUAUUGCAACUGUCUUUUUGACUGAAUCUCAGCAGCAACCAAAAGCUGAAAAUGGAGCACAAAUUGUUGCCAGAUAUGUUGCUCAUACACACAUACAAAAAAAUCAACACAAAGUCACAGAAGGAGAGAUGCUUUGAUGCUUUUGAUAUUCCUGCAGGGGAUUCUGGCCAUGGAGAGGUGGGACUCAGAUGGAACCACUUGCUGCCAGAAGCAGGAGCCUGUUGAGGCCAACUUCCCUUCCAUACAGGAAAGAAAAUGAAGGGGAGCCAGACAGAAAUCCAAAACCAGGAAACUAAAACAGUUCAAGCUUUGUUUAAUAAACAAUAAGGCAACUUCUACCACCAACAGAACAGAGGUCAGAGAGCCAGAGCUGCAUGAAGAAACUUGAGCAGGUGCCAGAAGAAUGGGCUUUUUCUACCUGGACCCUACAAUAGAUACAGCACACGAAGAGCCUUCAUCCAGCAGCUGAUGGAAGUAGAAGCAGACACCUACAGCUAAACACUGAACUGAACUGGAAUCCAGUUGCAGAGGAGGAGGAGUGAUGAGCUAAGGGGUCAAGACUAGGCUGGUGAAACCCACAGAAACACCUGACCUGAACAAGAGGGAGCUCAUGGUCCCCAGACUGAUAGCUGGGAAACCGGCAUGGGACUGAUCCAGACCCCAUGAAUGUGGGUGACAGUGAGGAGGCCUCGGAAAUCUAUGGGGCCUCUUGUAGUAGAUCAGUACUUAUCCCUAGCAUAAGAAUGGACUUUGAGAGCCCAUUUCACAUAGAGGAAUACUCCCUUAGCUGAGACACAUGGGGGAGAGCCUAGGCCCUAUCCCAAAGGAUAUGACAGACUCUGAAGACUCCAUGGAAGGCCUUACUCUCCCUGGGGAACAGAAAUGGUAUGGAAUAGGUAGG